UUUUAGCCCAGAUGGUAAUGAAAAUGCCUCAGUAAAAAAGCUAAUUUUUCUUGUCAAAAAAGAGCGACUAAAGGAAGCUCCUUUUUUGGGCUUAGAAAAAUAGAUUUUUUGACGAGGACUUGUAAUGUACAGCUGGAAUUGCU
rnacentral:sRNA from 1 species